CUGCGGCAGUUCCAGUGGCCCACUCACCGCACCUUCAAACCAGACGUUGGCGAAAAGUACAACGGCAAGACUCACCCGUCUGAGUUUCUCAGCAUGUACACCAUCGUGAUGCAAGCCGCCGGAGCCGGCGACGAUAAGGUGCUUGCGAAUUACUUUCCAUUAGCUCUUAAACCCAACGCCAUGUCGUGGUUGAUGCACUUGCCGGUAGACUCUAUUUCCUCCUGGUCGGAUUUGUGCCAUGAGUUUGUGGGCGCCUUUACUGGAGGUCACCAAGCCCAUGGCCAAGCAAGCGACCUGCAUGUCAUUCCCCAGAAGGGAGGCAAGAGUCUGCGCAAGUAUAUACAGAGGUUCAACCGGGUAUAG
rnacentral:rRNA from 1 species